UUAAACCGCAACCUGAUCUUA
rnacentral:siRNA from 1 species